AGAAUCAACGCUGGCGGCGUGCCUAACACAUGCAAGUCGAACGAGAAAGUGGGAGCAAUCCCACGAGUAAAGUGGCGCACGGGUGAGUAACACGUGACUAACCUACCCGUUGAGUGGGGGAUAACCUAGGGAAACCUGGGCUAAUACCGCAUAAUACCUACGGGUCAAAGGAGCAAUUCGCUUAAGGAGGGGGUCGCGGCAGAUUAGUUAGUUGGCGGGGUAAUGGCCCACCAAGACAGUGAUCUGUA
rnacentral:rRNA from 1 species